rnacentral:rRNA from 1 species
AGGACGAACGCUGGCGGCGUGCUUAACACAUGCAAGUCGAACGGUAAGGCCCUUCGGGGUACACGAGUGGCGAACGGGUGAGUAACACGUGGGUGAUCUGCCCUGCACUUCGGGAUAAGCUUGGGAAACUGGGUCUAAUACCGGAUAUGACUACGAAUCGCAUGGUUUGUGGUGGAAAGCUUUUGCGGUGUGGGAUGGGCCCGCGGCCUAUCAGCUUGUUGGUGGGGUGAUGGCCUACCAAGGCGACGACGGGUAGCCGACCUGAGAGGGUGUCCGGCCACACUGGGACUGAGAUACGGCCCAGACUCCUACGGGAGGCAGCAGUGGGGAAUAUUGCACAAUGGGCGCAAGCCUGAUGCAGCGACGCCGCGUGAGGGAUGACGGCCUUCGGGUUGUAAACCUCUUUCAGUAUCGACGAAGCGCAAGUGACGGUAGGUACAGAAGAAGGACCGGCCAACUACGUGCCAGCAGCCGCGGUAA